GGAGGAUUGUCCGAGUGGUUUAAGGUGCAGCUCUCGAAAAGCUGUGUGCCCCUGGCACCGAGGGUUCGAAUCCCUUGUCCUCCG
rnacentral:tRNA from 1 species